UCUGAAAGUGGAAUGAAGGAAUACUUGUUCAAGUUACAGAGAGUGAGAAAAAAGGGGAGGCCUGCAUUCCUGCAUUUUUGUACCAGAUGUUCUGGUAACAGUCCUUGAGAUACAGGGGCACUGUUUUCCACUCCCUGUUUUGUGUUAUGUCCGUUCUUAACUCCUCGUCUCCUGGUUGACACCCAUACCGAUAAGAAAGUUAGUGAAGCAUUAUGAUUUGCUAAAAGUUAUCUACAAUAAGGGAGUAGAAGUGCAUGCAUAAUAGAAAAAGAGGAUUUUAACUAACAUAGGGGAGGGGUGGGCUGCUUUAUGAAUGAAUCUGUGAUGCAAUGGGACUGUCUAUAAAAACCUAUUAGUUUUACUUAGAGGUGGCUGGUUCUCUUUGGAGACAGACUGCUCUCUAUUGUUGUGUGCACUCUUCAGUAAAGAGCUUUGUGUUUGGACCUUGCUGGUGUUGCCUGUCUCUCUCCGGUCAGACAACAAACCAUGCCAUCUGGGGUUCGAGUCCUCAACAAUUUGGCGACCACUAAGGGACUCGUCUGACUCUCCAGCGCAGUAUCAAGACUCUAAAACAACGCAGAGCGGUUUCGAGGAGCCUUGCCAGUGAUCUGAUCCCUGCGUCGGCGAUGAGGUGUGUUCUGUGAACCAGCAGGAGCCCAUAGAAAUCCAGCAAUGUCUACCUACCCUUUGAGUAGGAUCCAGAUCCAGGUCUUCGGGGUUCGAGUCCCUGGAGAGGUUAAUAGAAGCCAAGAAGGGGAGAAGAAAAAAGAACGAACGGAGGACGAGCUAAUUCAAUGCUGUAGCUGGCAGGCUCGGUCCAAAGAUAAGACGCUGGCCUGCCCAAGGACACUAUUUACAGCUAGGAUUUGGCUGACAGCCAAGAAGGAGGGGGGCUUGAAUGUGCCCAAGCAGCUGUGAGAUCUGCAAAACUCUGCCAGACAUUAAUGAAAUGUGUUAGGUCUCUGUAUUUACAGGUGAAAGAAGUCCUGCUCCAAGGAUCCUGAGCAAACCUGCCAUUUGUUAAAACCAGGUGACUGGGUCUACAUAAAGGUCCAUCAAC